AUUGAAGCUAACAAACAAUUGACAACAUUGUUCAAAGAUAGAGGCAAUAUUUCCUUCUGGAAGCAUCAAGGAUUAUUGAAAAACACUGAGUCCUUGUUAACGGAUAAAGUUCAUCUUAAUGAUGAUGGUAUGCAGAUAUAUGCGAAAAGUAUUCGUGCAGCAGUCGGUUCGUUCAAAAGAAGGUAGAACAAAUUCGGAUACAAAAUAACACCAACAGUCAACUCCUACCGGAUAUCACAUAUUGUCUCCCUCGAUCCAACAGUAGACCACAUAACGAUCCUCCAACAUAAGCACGAAUUCUCACUAAUGGAAGGAGCGGUCGAUUUGCCUGUAAAUUAAUUUGAAAAAAACUGAUAAGGGCCUUUUAUCGUCAAUUAUGAAUGGCUUUUCAAUAUCAAAUAGUAAGACAUAUAAAAAUCUAAGCACAUUAUUUCAUAUCUUCAGAGUACUAAGAAAUAAAAACAUGUAUAUU
rnacentral:sRNA from 1 species